rnacentral:rRNA from 1 species
UACGAAGGGGGCUAGCGUUGCUCGGAAUCACUGGGCGUAAAGGGUGCGUAGGCGGGUCUUUAAGUCCGGGGUGAAAUCCUGGAGCUCAACUCCAGAACUGCCUUUGAUACUGAGGAUCUUGAGUUCGGGAGAGGUGAGUGGAACUGCGAGUGUAGAGGUGAAAUUCGUAGAUAUUCGCAAGAACACCAGUGGCGAAGGCGGCUCACUGGCCCGAUACUGACGCUGAGGCACGAAAGCUAGGGGAGCAAACAGG